rnacentral:SRP_RNA from 1 species
CCGGGUCGUGUCGCGACGGCUUGUGACUCGAGCGAGGGUAGAACGCGCCGCCGCGUCGAUUCGCGUCGCGCGCCCCGCCGUCGACCCCACACACUCGCAUCGAUCGCGCGUCCACGUCGAGGUCGCGGUCCGCGUUCGCGACGCGCCUGAAGGCGCGCCGAGACGCGCGUUAAAGCGCCGGGCACCGCGCGAGGCGGGGAACCGAGCAGCGCACACCGCGCCGCCGCGAGCGG